UUCUAAUUUUGCACUUCACUUGCUUAACUCUAAUUAUAUAUAAGAUAUAUCUUUGCCUUUGUGUCAAUAAUAGUAUAAUAAUAAUAAUAAUAAUAAUAAUAAUAAUAAUAAUAAUAAUAAUAAUAAUAAUGGAGCUCUUUGCCAGGUUAUCUUGAAAUUUCAAUCUUGUAAUUCCCUUGCUUAACUCUAAUUAUAUAUAAGAUAUAUCUUUGUCUUUGUGUCAAUAAUAGUAUAAUAUAAUAAUAAUAAUAAUAAUAAUAAUAAUAAUAAUAAUAAUAAUAAUAAUGGAGCUCUUUGCCAGGUUUUCUUGCAAUUCCAAUUUUGCACUUCCCUUGCUUAACUCUAAUUAUAUAUAAGAUAUAUAUUUGUCUUUGUGUCAAUAAUAGUAUAAUGAUAAUAAUAAUAAUAAUAAUAACAACAACAACAAUAAUAUUGGAGCUCUUUGCCAGGUUAUCUUGUAUGUACAAUAUUAAAUAAUAAUAAUAAUAAUAAUAAUAAUAAUAAUAAUAAUAAUAAUAAUAAUAAAGCUCUUGACCAGGUUAUCUUGCAAUUCCAAUCUUGCAAUUCACUUGGUAAGCUCUAAUAAUAAUAAUAAUAAUAAUAAUAAUAAUAAUAAAGCUCUUGACCAGGUUAUCUUGCAAUUCCAAUCUUGCAAUUCACUUGGUAAGCUCUAAUAAUAAUAAUAAUAAUAAUAAAGCUCUUGACCAGGUUAUCUUGCAAUUCCAAUCUUGCAAUUCACUUGGUAAGCUCUAAUAAUAAUAAUAAUAAUAAAGCUCUUGACCAGGUUAUCUUGCAAUUCCAAUCUUGCAAUUCACUUGGUAAGCUCUAAUAAUAAUAAUAAUAAUAAUAAAGCUCUUGACCAGGUUAUCUUGCAAUUCCAAUCUUGCAAUUCACUUGGUAAGCUCUAAUAAUAAUAAUAAUAAUAAAGCUCUUGACCAGGUUAUCUUGCAAUUCCAAUCUUGCAAUUCACUUGCUAAGCUCUAAUAAUGAUGAUGAUGAUGAUGAUGAUGAUGAUGGAGCUCUUGAUCUUGCAAUUCCAAUUUUGCACUUCCCUUGCUUAACUCUAAUUAUAUAUAAGAUAUAUCUUUGUGUCAAUUAUAGAAUAAUAAUAAUAAUAAUAAUAAUAAUAAUAAUAAUAAUAAUAAUAAUGGAGCUCUUGACCAGGUUAUCUUGCAAUUCCAAUCUUGCAAUUCACUUGCUAAGCUCUAAUAAUGAUAAUGAUAAUGAUAAUAAUAAUAAUAAUAAAGCUCUUGACCAGGUUAUCUUGCAAUUCCAAUCUUGCAAUUCACUUGGUAAGCUCUAAUAAUGAUGAUGAUGAUGAUGAUGAUGAUGAUGAUGAUGGAGCUCUUGACCAGGUUGUCUUGCAAUUCCAAUCUUGCAAUUCACAUGCUAAGCUCUAAUAAUAAUAAUAAUAAUAAUAAUAAUAAUACAGUAAUUAAUAAUAAUAAUAAUAAUAAUAAUAAUAAUAAUAAUAAUAAUAAUAAUGCUCUUGACCAGGUUAUCUUGCCAUUCCAAUCUUGCAAUUCCCUUGCGAAGCUCUAAUAAUAAUGAUAAUUAUGAUGAUGAUGGUGGUGGCGGUCUUGACCAGGUUAUCUUGCAAUUCCAAUCUUGCCCUUCAUUUGCUUAACUCUUAUAAAAAGAAGCUCCCAAAACCAGGCAGCUUAGGGUUCAAAUUGCCAGCAUUUUCAAAUAGCACAGAGAGAGGAAUGGUGUUUAAUGGUGUGACACAGAUAUUGUAUGUUUCCCCACAAAGGUGUCAGCCACUUCCAAUGGGUUCUGGGCUGCCAGAUGGGAGGAUGGAUGGGUGGGUGGCGGGGAAUCUCAUCUCCCGUGUAUAUCUUCAGUACAGUCUCUCUCCUUUUUGUACACUUCCAAGGAAAACUGGCCAAGUUUUUUGCCCCAGAGGAAAGAGAUAGGGGUGGUUGGGGGAUUUCCAAAUAGUAGAAAAAGCAUUGGUUAAGUGGCAACGGCAGCAGUUUAGCAGAGCAGAAGCUUCUGAGCGUAGCAGUAGAGCAAAGACCGGAGCAGAGCCGAGCAUUCGAAGGCACAAAAGGCCUUUUUGAAAGAACAGGAAUGUUAAGGCCUAGCGGUCCUAACUUUAUUUGUUGUUAUGAUGACGGCCUCAUGUCUAAAGGGGAGACCAAACUCCCAGUGGUCACUCACUUUGGAGGCUUGGAAGAGGGUUGGAAAGGAACCCCAAGCUUGUCCAUGCAA